rnacentral:rRNA from 1 species
GUCUACGGCCUUGCCACUCUGAACGAGCUUGAUGUCUGAUCUCGGAAGCUAAGCAGGGUCGGAUCUGGUUAGUACUUGGAUGAGAGACCACCUAGGAAAACCAAGUGCUGUAGGCA